CAGGGUGUGGAGGGAGGUCAACGCCAACCUGCCCCUCCCUCGGGCUGCCCAGCCCCCAUCCGGCUCUCCAGCACUGGGAGAACGUCAUCCUCUCUCUCUCUCCUCAGUACCCCCUAAGCCAUCUCUGCCUCCCCUUUCUUGGAGGAGCACGGGGUCACGACCCUGCUGCCCCCCCAAACCCGGGACCCUUUUUGUCUUGGCGGUUGCUCCCCACUCCCUGCCACCUGGCCCUCCCAGCGCCUUGUGGGAUCAGAAGCAGGAGGGGGAUUAGGUUCUGCAAAUGGCUCCCCCCUCCCCGCCAUCCUGCCUCCCCGUCUUAGUCAUCUCUGCCCUCCGCAGCCUCCUCCCUCCAUUACGAUCCCUCUGCCAGGCCAAGGGGAGAACGACAUUGACAGGCGCCCUCCGCCCAGGGGCGGCGGCGGAGCAAAGGGCCGGCUCGUCAGAAAAGGCUCAGAAGCGGCGCUCCCCCACCCCCUUCCCUUCCUCAUCCUGCUGCCCGCGCCUCCCCCUAACCGCCGCGCUGCGCACGGAUGGCGGCGGAGCCGCAGAGGCACUAUGCUGGACCCCGGAGAUAGAGCAGUGAACAACAUGGACAGGAAGUCCUUACCCACGUGGGCCUGCCUUCCUGACUAGUGGAAAAAGAGACACAAAGCACAAAUAAGCUAAUAGACGUCACUUUGUCACAUGGUGAUGACAGCCUUGGGAAGCAAGGACGCCGGGUGAGGUUGGGAGCAGGGGCAGUGUUGCUCUCGUGUGAUCGCAGUGGUUGGAGCAGGGCUCUGGUAAGGAAAACCUUUGAGCAGAGACCUGAAAGAAGUGACAGUGACACAUGGGGACACACAGCGGAGGGAUUUGCCAGGCAGGCAGAGGGGACUAGGCAGGUGUUAUCCCAGGAGACUGGCCUGGGCCUUAGACAAGCUGUGGGACCCAGGCCCCUCCACAUUGCUAAGCCUCAGUUGUCUAACCUGGGUAAUGGGGAUAAUGUUCAGUCUGUGGGGGGCACAGCCCUGGCCUGGCGCUCAGGAGACUCUCAUUGAACCUCAGCUUCGAAGAUGCCAAAGAUGACAGCCCUCCCGACAGCUGGAGGGUCAGCGACACACGACACACACCCGGAGCUCCAAGCCAGCCUGUGAUUAUGCUCUGAGGACCAGGGAGAGCAGAGAAGUGGAAUCAUACGGUAUCCCCUGUCCUGCCGUAUCGCCAGUGCCGGACCGGCGGCCUGGGCCUCACCUGCACAGAAGUGCAGCAUCUCAGGCCCCUCCCAUGGCCCGCAGGGCCACGCUUGAAUUUAGUAAGAACCACGUGCUCCAGAAGAUUCCUCUGUGCAUCAAAGUCACCAGAGAAGCUCUGGUAUAUCUUACUACAUGCAACUUUUUAGUACUAGUAUGUCUCAGGCGUCUCUCAGGGUAAGAACAGAUAGGACGGUCGUGUUCCUUGUUCUUGGCUGCAUAGUUCCCCAUGGCCCGGCCGUGCCCUGUUUCUCGUUCCCUCGCCUGCUCAGCAUGGUUGGGUUGAACUUGAAGAACGGACGAAUGAAAUGCCACCGUGGGCUUCCAGCAUAAGCAAAGGUCUGGAAUCAGAAAGAAAAUGAACUUGAAAUCUACCCUGGCCUCAGUUUCCCUCAGAUUUUGGUGAGGGCCAAAGGAUUGCAGAUGGUUCUCUCCAUGCACUGAGGAGCCGGGGGCCCCGAGGGCCAACGAAUUAGCUGAGAGUCUUAGAACUGGCAUUGACUGUCUACUCUGGGCGCCCGAGAGGGAGCAUUCUCUCUGGAGCUGCUGCUGCACCGCGAGCCACCCACUGUGCUGGGCAGAUUCACAACAGGAAAUUCGCUGGGCGUCUCCUCCCCGCCAGGUGACUGUGCUGAGAGAUUCUGCCCUCAGGAGGGAGAAGCUGUGAAUUCGCUUCUUUUGGUAGAUGAGGAAACUGAGGCACAACGAGGCUAAUGAGGAAGAGUCUGCAGUCACAAAGCUGGGAAGCGAUGUGGUGAAGAUGUGAACGGAGCGGGGAAGAGUCCGGCUUCCAUGUUUCUGUCCUGCAUGACGCCAGCUCUUGUGACCUGUGUGUAUUUAAUGCAAGUAAAACACCAGCCUGCGCUGGCGGGUGUAGCUCAGUGGAUCGAGCACGGGCUGUGAACCAA